rnacentral:rRNA from 1 species
GGGGAUGAGCAUGAGCUGGUUGAAGCAGUGGGCGUCAAAAGCUUUUCCUACUGUGGUCCGUGCUUGCAUGCAAAUUUUCUUGCUAGGCGUAAAGUUUCCAGCAGCUGUGAUGAUCUUGUUCCCAAGUACUUCUUUGCUGAGCUGACAAUCGAUGCAGAUGGUCUGUCGUGUGUUUCAUGCUUCAAGUUCGACUCAGUUGACUGGAAGAACUUUGGCGGUUGUGGAGUGUGCCCGGCAACAUUUGUCCAUCCCGCUGGUGGUGGGUACAUUGGUGCCCGACCUGAAUAUCGUAUUCAGCCUGCUCCCAGUGGUCUACAAUUAUCGUUUAGUUUCUAA